GGGAUGUAGCUCAGUUGGUCAAGUACUUGUCUUGCACACACAAGGCCCUGGGUUCAAUCCCCCAUACCAUACCA
rnacentral:tRNA from 1 species